GAUACAUUCCAUGCCGACUCUAGUAUAAAUAUAAGCCGCCUUCCAUUCCGCACAAAUUUUUCAGAGCAUCGUGGAUUGGGAGAAACUGAAGAGGGAAGAGAAAGAUGUCGGGCAUGGGAGAUGGGUACGUGGGCACGGCCCAGGACGCAGUGAGGAUCCGGAGACUGGAGAAGCAGAGAGAGGUGGAGAGGAGGAAAAUCCAAGAGCUCAAGAACAAGUCCGCUUCUUCCAAAGGCCAGACCGGUCUCCUUCAGUUCGGCUCCGGCACCUCCGAGGGAACGUAGGUUUGAAAUGUGAGAACUGACAGUUGGCGGGUUUUUGUUAUAGGAUUAGUGUUUCGGUUUUAUACCAUUUUCAGGCAUUUUCUCGUUACUCAAUUGAAUAUGUAUGAUAGGUUAGCGGUGUUAUCUGAUAAAAUUAGUGAAACAACAAAAAGGUAUGAAUUUGGAAUGUGAAAAUCAACAGUUGGUAGGUUCCAUUAGAGGAUUGGUGAUUGAGUCUUAUGUUUCUAUCAUGCACUUUUUUGUCAAUCAAAAAGAGGAUUGAUGAAUGUAGAAUGAUAAUUUUAUCAGAUAUGUAUAAUGGUUUAGUUCUGUUUUUAGAGGAUGGAACGCUGGAUGUUUGAUAUUAUUUGUUAUUUUGUUACCUGAAUGUCAUAUUUAUUUUUUAGGGUUGUUUAUUGCCCAUUUUUCCUCGUUUUCCAUAACCAUUUGUUUGGUUGUUGAGAGAAUUAGUGACAGAUCAAGAAAAUACAAUUUUGGAUGUGAAAAUAAGCAGUUGGCAAGCUUUACCAUAGAUUGGUAGUUUGGUUAUGUUGUGUUCAUGCAGUUCCUCUUCAAUCAAGGAGAGUAUUGUUGUGUGUAGAAUGAUAGUUGUGGGAAUAUAGCCAAUUGGUUUAGUUGUGCUUUUUUAGGAAUGAAGCCUUGUGUGUUUUUUAUUAAUUUAUUUUUGAGAAAUUAGUCAAACAUCAAGAAAAUACAAAUUUCGAAUGUGAAAAUUAGCUUUUGGUGGGUUUGGUUGUUGGAUUGAUUGUUCAAUUUUAUGCUAUUCUCAUGCAUUUUGUAGUCAAUCAAGCAGAGGAUUCAUGUGUACAGAAUAAUAAUUGUGUGAAUAUAUAUAAUGGAUUAGUUGUGUUUUU